rnacentral:rRNA from 1 species
UACGUAGGGUGCAAGCGUUGUCCGGAAUUAUUGGGCGUAAAGAGCGUGUAGGCGGUCCGGUAAGUCGGCUGUGAAAGUCCAGGGCUCAACCCCUGGGAUGCCGGUCGAUACUGCCCGGACUAGAGUCGGAAGAGGCGAGUGGAAUUCCCGGUGUGAGCGGUGAAAUGACGCGAGAUAUCAGGAGGAACACCCGGUGGCGAAGGCGGGACUCUGGGC